ensembl:lncRNA
UUAAAAUUAUUUUUACUUUUGAUACUUGAGAAUAUUUCAAACCAAAUACUUCCCAAGUAGUAUUUUACUGGGCAACUUUCACAUUUACUUGAGUCAUACUGUUUGCAACUGACUGAUUGAGGACUUUUUCCACCACUGUUUGUUUUGGACAUUUAUUUUUUAUCAAAUGUAUUUGACAGGGACAAUCUACUGUAUUUCUGUAAAUGUGCCAGAUUUAGCCAGCUGGCUUUGUGAUGUAACAAAGGUAGCUGAUGAUGUAAUGAAAACAGACAGUUAAAUAUGUGUGUGUAGAACUGUUGCACAUUUGCUCUGGAAAUGAGGACCAAACCUACUCGUCAAAAGGAGUAGUUGCACCUCCAAUUGAAGUCAAUAAUAAGUUUGAGAGAUCAUCCCGGGCUUUGCCCCGUCUGCUGUAGCUGAGAUGUCCCUGGAGGACAUAGAACAACAAGACUAUGAUGUUUCUGACACUGAGAGAGUCAGAGCCUUGUCCCAGUCUCUAGACCUGCCUGUCUGUGUGGUGGAUGACCACCUGACCUCUGAAGCUGUCAAUGAGAUGGAGCAGAGCAAUUCUACCAGGAGCAGAGCAACCUCAGUGAUGGAAACCACAGAAGAGGGGAAGCUCAACAAUGUGGAACAUCUGACACUGAUGGACUUCCUUCAAAACCUAACUGAGAAG